GUAUUGAAUGAAAAAAUUGCAAAAUCAUUGCUUAUUGUAAAAUAUGGAUAUUAUAACACAUAUACAAGCAAAUAAAUGUGACAUGAGAAUGUGAGAGGAGCCUAGGAAGUAAGCAUUCUAAGGCAAUUUGAGGAAAAAUCACUUUCAUCAGGGAGUCAAGAUCAAAAGAAAUCUGGGAAGACUUAAUAGAGGAUGUCACAAUGGGCUUGGACCUUAAAAGAAAGGAUUUCAAAAUUUGGACAUAUAGACAAAGAUGUGCAGAUGUAUCAAGGAAGAUUGAUGCAGCACAAGCUACAAAAAAAUAUCUCGUCAAUAUCAAUAUCUGAACACAUCAAACAACUCCAGCUUUCAAGCAGAGGAAGGAAUCCAAAGAGACAACUUGAAUUUAUGUUGUAUAAGGACUAGAUAAAGAAUAACAGAAAUCAAAAUGUCAUUUCCUUAUAAAAAGAAGAGCAAAGAAAAGCCUGGAUAAAGAACGAUUAUAUGCAAAAAUGCAUAUUUGUAUUAUAUACAACUUGCUUUAAAGAAUUUGUCAUCAAUGUAAACAAGCUACUUUCAAAGAUUUUCCAUUCUUCUGUUUUUCUUUAUGGACUUCUUUUUGUGCAUUUGAAAAUGCUUCAUUAAACCUCUCUUCUUCUUCUUCUUCUUUUUUUUUUUGUUAGGGAAAGGAAAAUUCAUUUUUCUGUCUUUUCUCUUUCCAUCAAAUCUCACCACUCAAAAAAUGGGGGAAAAAACAAUGCUUGCAAUGUAUAAGCUAUGAAAAAAUUCAAUAAAAUAAGAUUAUUUCUUUGCCA
rnacentral:lncRNA from 1 species